UCUCUGUGCUUUCAGCUUCUUUACAGUGCUGCCUUGUUGCGUUCAUGUCAAGCAGCAUUGUACAGGGCUAUGAAAGAACAGAG
ensembl:miRNA